rnacentral:snoRNA from 1 species
AGCAUUUGUGUAUGUUUUUGUUGAACUGGUGGACAAAGACAUGAAAGACAGGUGCAAAAAAAACCCCACCCCUCUUUUGCAACCCAUUAAUUUUAUGAAUUUUGACACAUGUAAGACACAGACUA